GCCCAGACUCCUACGGGAGGCAGCAGUGGGGGAUAUUGCACAAUGGGGGGAACCCUGAUGCAGCGACGCCGCGUGGGUGAAGAAGUAUUUCGGUAUGUAAAGCCCUAUCGGCAGGGAAGAAAUUGGACGGUACCUGACUAAGAAGCCCCGGCUAACUACGUGCCAGCAGCCGCGGUAAUACGUAGGGGGCAAGCGUUAUCCGGAUUCACUGGGUGUAAAGGGAGCGUAGACGGCCAUGCAAGCCUGGAGUGAAAACCCGGGGCCCAACCCCGGGACUGCUCUGGGAACUGUGCGGCUGGAGUGCGGGAGGGGCAGGCGGAAUUCCUGGUGUAGCGGUGAAAUGCGUAGAUAUCAGGAGGAACACCGGCGGCGAAGGCGGCCUGCUGGACCGCGACUGACGUUGAGGCUCGAAAGCGUGGGGAGCAAACAGGAUUAGAUACCCCGGUACAA
rnacentral:rRNA from 1 species